rnacentral:rRNA from 1 species
UACGUAGGGGGCAAGCGUUGUCCGGAAUCAUUGGGCGUAAAGGGCGCGUAGGUGGCCUGUUAAGUCGAACGUGAAAUCCCCGGGCUCAACCCGGGAACUGCGUCCGAGACUGGCAGGCUCGAAUCCGGGAGAGGGAUGCGGAAUUCCAGGUGUAGCGGUGAAAUGCGUAGAUAUCUGGAGGAAUACCGGUGGCGAAGGCGGCAUCCUGGACCGAGAUUGACACUGAUGAGCGAAAGCCAGGGGAGCAAACGGG